rnacentral:rRNA from 1 species
GAUGAACGCUGGCGGCGUGCUUAACACAUGCAAGUCGAACGGUGAAGCCCAGCUUGCUGGGUGGAUCAGUGGCGAACGGGUGAGUAACACGUGAGCAAUCUGCCCCCUGACUCUGGGAUAAGCGCUGGAAACGGCGUCUAAUACUGGAUAUGAACCGUGGAGGCAUCUUCAACGGUUGGAAAGAUUUUUGGUCAGGGAUGAGCUCGCGGCCUAUCAGCUUGUUGGUGAGGUAAUGGCUCACCAAGGCGUCGACGGGUAGCCGGCCUGAGAGGGUGACCGGCCACACUGGGACUGAGACACGGCCCAGACUCCUACGGGAGGCAGCAGUGGGGAAUAUUGCACAAUGGGCGCAAGCCUGAUGCAGCAACGCCGCGUGAGGGAUGACGGCC